UACGAAGGGGGCUAGCGUUGCUCGGAAUUACUGGGCGUAAAGCGCACGUAGGCGGCUUCUUAAGUCGGUGGUGAAAUCCUGGAGCUCAACUCCAGAACUGCCUUCGAUACUGGGGAGCUCGAGUCCGGGAGAGGUGAGUGGAACUGCGAGUGUAGAGGUGAAAUUUCGUAGAUAUUCGCAAGAACACCAGUGGCGAAGGCGGCUCACUGGCCCGGUACUGACGCUGAGGUGCGAAAGCGUGGGGAGCAAACA
rnacentral:rRNA from 1 species